rnacentral:rRNA from 1 species
CGAACGCGUUGSCCAAUUGAUUGAUGRUGCUUGCMCYKRWUUGAUUUUGGUCGCCAACGAGUGGCGGACGGGUGAGUAACACGUAGGUAACCUGCCCAGAAGCGGGGGACAACAUUUGGAAACAGAUGCUAAUACCGCAUAACAACGUUGUUCGCAUGAACAACGCUUAAAAGAUGGCUUCUCGCUAUCACUUCUGGAUGGACCUGCGGUGCAUUAGCUUGUUGGUGGGGUAAYGGCCUACCAAGGCGAUGAUGCAUAGCCGAGUUGAGAGACUGAUCGGCCACAAUGGGACUGAGACACGGCCCAUACUCCUACGGGAGGCAGCAGUAGGGAAUCUUCCACAAUGGGCGCA